CGCGUGGAGGAUGAAGGCUUGGGUGUAACUCUUUUGAUAGUCUCUUCCAGACUAAGAUACGCCUCUACUAACUACGUGCCAGAAGUCUCGGUAAUGCGUCAUGAGGCGAGCGUUAUCCGGAUUCAUUGGGCGUAAAGUGUGCGUAGGCGGUCUGAUAAGUCUCAGUUUAAAUCCCAUGGCUUACCCAUGGAAAAGGGUUGAGAUACUAUCAGACUUGAGGAUUGACAGGGGUGCUGGAACAGUUAGUGUAGCAGUGAAAUGCGUUGAUAUUAACUGGAACACCAAAGGCGAAGGCAGGCACCUGGGUUUUUCCUGACGUUGAGGCACGAAAGCUAUGGUAGCGAAACAGAUUAGAUACCUGUGUAGUCCUAGCCGUAAACGAUGUCUGCUAGAUGUCUCCUUUUUGGAGGGGUCGUAAGCUAACGCGUUAAGCAGACCGCCUGGGGAGUACGGCCGCAAGGCUAAAACUCAAAGGAAUUGACGGGGACCCGCACAACCGGUGGAGCGUGUGGUUCAAUUCCAGACAAAGCGAAGGACCUCACCAGGGCUUGACAUGCUAUCGUUUAUUCUCUUGGAAACUUGAGGAAAUCCCACGUAAGUGGGAUGAUAGCCCAGGUGCUGCAUGGCUGUCGUCAG
rnacentral:rRNA from 1 species